AGCUUUCAGUGAAUUGACAGCAUCAUUUUUGGCAGCAUAAAAUACAGGAGUUUGCAAUUCAUCUUUUGUCUUAGCCUCAAUGUCAGCUGCACAAAGAAACAUUUCUUCAGAUAGGAAGAUUAUUAUGUCCAAGCCCAAACUUCAUACAGGACAGCAGGGGAUGGAGGGUUUGAACUCAUCAGGAUCAUAAAGUCAACAGUCCAAAGCACAUACCACAAAACCAGGCAACCAUUUGGAUUUUGAUAAUUUAUGUUGAACAAUGGAAAUAUAUAAAAAAAAAAUAUUUAAAGACUAGAUUAAAUUGAAAAAAAAAAUUAUACACAAUACACAUAUGGAAAUAUUAUAAAUUCGUAAUUAAAAUAUAGGACUUAACUUAUAUAAUUUUAAACAAAAAUCACCAACUAUUUGACUUUUGCAUCCUGCGGCAGCAAGCAUAAGAUUUCCACCUCAAAGCAUCUUUUUUAACUCUAUUAAAGAAAAUGAGAUCCUCUGCAUUUAAUUCUUUAUUAUCAGCAUCCAUUGUUCUGAAAAAGUAAAUAAGAAAGCUUUGAAAUUUAGUAGGAUCUAUAUAUAAAUUGUAAUAAUUAUUUUUGCUUAAUAUAAAAUAUUUCAACACUAAUGUCAGUAAUGAACAUUUGUACACCUGUAAAUCUUGGAGUUAAGAAUUAAACAUAAACUUUGAAUAUAAACAAAAUAUAGAUCUACUUACUUACUUGUAUAAAAGUUUACCUUUCUUUCCCUGGAGAUAUUGCCUGUGUUUUGUUAAGUGCUGAUGAAUGUUCUUCAUCUAAUGGCAUUAUUUUUCCUUUAUUGUACUUGAUUCUGACAUCCAUGUUUGUUUCUUUAAUUCAGUAAUAAAUGAUAGUCAACAAAACAAUAUAGAGUAGAGCCACGGCCAUAGCCUAAACACACAAGACAUAUAUGAAAUAUAUGAGUAUCUAUUGCAAAGUAAAAUAAGUUUAGAGGUCUAAAGACAAGGGCGUCGGUGCAAUGGUUAUAUAUUUAUAUUGAUAAAUAAUUGUGCCAUAUGUAGUUUAAUAAAUUUACCUCUAUGAAAAUGUCAAAAAUAACUGAUGUAAUUGAUAUUUAUGAUAGACUAUACAAAAUAUAUAUUAAUGUAAAGUUUGCUAAACAGUUUUCAGUCAUGAUCAUGAAUCAUCAUGUCUUGAUUAUAUUUUAUUAAUGAAUUUUAUUAAUACGUAACUUAGCAGUGACAAGAAAUACUUCAAAUAGUCCAGACUGGCAGACUAUCGUCGUCUAUCACCAGAAUAUCCGUAGACAUCCUCAUUUAAAUU